CCUCACACCCAACAACAGGCUGGGAAUAUUUUUCCACAUCAGUCACCAAGUGGAUGACUGACCGCUAAUGGAUCAAGUCAGGAACUCCUCAGUGAGCUGACCUGGCAAUUUCCUCCUAAGUGCUCACUGGCCGCUUCUAAGCACGAGGGCAAGCCAUAAUGCCACCAUCUCCGAGUCAACCUCAACUCCCUCAAGAGAUGGGCAGGGUACCUCUGCCACUGCGCUGACAACUCACAAAGAUUCAUCUUCAUCCCAGGAGACAAAAUAAGAGCUUGCCUUUGUGGCAUACAUAUAUUUCUGCUCUCAACUGAACUUCACAAGUUCCAGACCAACUCAACCUUAAAGGUCCAUCCUCCCGAAUGUGACUACAGUUCUUCCCAUGUCCAGCCCAUGGCUUUAGACCCACGGUUGGCAUUUUCAUGUUCUGACCUGUGGGAGAAGCAAGCUUGCUCCCACGCUGAGAAACUUGCACGAAUUCUCAACUCUAAAAGGCUGUGAAGAGAGAGGCUUGGUAGCCCCAUUCAGUUAUUCUACUUUGUGGAUCCUCAAACUUACUCCUUUCUUCUCCUUCCUUCCCCCUUCUCUUUCUACUCCUCCCUCUUCCUCUUGCCUCUAUUUCUCUGUCUAGAAGGCUCUGGCAAACUCCCCCAAAUGUACCAGCAAACCUCCCUCUUUCUCCUUGUUGCUACAAUGGGUUUGACGGCCUGAGUUAUCCUUCUAUGCAGUCUGCUUUGAGACUCUCUGGGCAUGCCUUUGGAAGCCUGAUAAAGUAACAGUCAAGCCAGGAUGUCAAGGUGAAGGCCGUAAACGUGUGGAAGGAAGAAAACUCUUCACCAGAGAGUCCAUGGGCUGGAAAGAUGGCUCAGCAAGCAAAAGCACUACGUAGGCACGCCGAGAGCCAGAUGACUGAGCUCAACUUCCUGAACCCUUGUGAGAAUGCCUGGAUGUGGCAGCGUACAUGUGGAAUCUUAGCACUUCUACAGUGAGGUGGGAGGCGAAGACAGGAGACUCAUCUAGAAGCUUGAGUGCCAGCUAACCUGAAGUACACGGCACAGCUGCCGAAACGAGGCCGACUGCCAAGAUGGUGAGGAAAAGCACGAGUUGCUCUUCCAGAGGCCCAGGCUCAAUUUCCAGCAUCCCCAUGGUGGCUCACACCUAUCUGUAACUCUAGUUCCUGAUGUGAGAGUGAUUUCUUAUUAAUAAAGAAACUGCCUAGGCCCCUUGACAGACCAAUCCUUAGGUGGGUGGAGUAAACAGAACAGAAUGCUGGGAGGAAGAGGCUGAAUCAGAGAGUUGCCAUGAUUCUCUUACCGAACACAGAUGCAGGUUAAGAUCUUCCCUGGUAAGACACCUCGUGGUGUUACAGGGAUAUUAGAAAUGGGUUAGAUCAAUAUGUAAGAGCUAGCCAAUAAGAGGCUACAGAUAACGG